CUCAUUCGCUACAGAAAGGCUGGCAAAAUGUCAACAGAUGAACAUAUUUUAAAAUCUUUGUAGAAAAACAACCUUCAAAACUGCUCAUGAAUACAAACAGUACUGUAGGUUUCUAUGUGAUAUAGCAUACUGUUUGCCUUUAGAGAGCACAGUACAGUAGUUGACGUUUCAUUUCAUUUGUGAGAGCAUCACAAGUUCAGAAGCAGUAUGGUGAGAGCACUUGGAGCUGUGCUGAUAAUGUGUUUAUAAAGGAAGUGGACAUUCUGGUCAGCGACAGUCACAGGGCUGGUGUGUUUAACCAAUGAGAGACAGAGACAGACAGACAUCCAAAAUAUUCACUGACUAAUCACUUUUUCUCUCACUGUGAUCUUGAAAACAAAAAAUGUAAUCCAAACCGUUUAUGAGACGAGUGAUGGGUGACUACAGAGAAAUAUAAUCUCUGUAGGUGACUACAUAGAAAUAUAAUCUCUGUGGGUGACUACAUAGAAAUAUAAUCUCUGUGGGUGACUACAUAGAAAUAUAAUCUCUGUGCGCGACUACAUAGAAAUAUAAUCUCUGUGGGUGACCACAUAGAAAUAUAAUCUCUGUGCGUGACUACAUAGAAAUAUAAUCUCUGUGGGUGACUACAUAGAAAUAUAAUCUCUGUGGGUGACUACAUAGAAAUAUAAUCUCUGUAGGUGACUACAUAGAAUUAUAAUCUCUGUGGGUGACUACAUAGAAAUAUAAUCUCUGUGGGUGACUACAUAGAAAUAUAAUCUCUGUAGGUGACUACAUAGAAAUAUAAUCUCUGUAGGUGACGACAUAGAAAUAUAAUCUCUGUGCGUGACUACAUAGAAAUAUAAUCUCUGUGGGUGACGACAUAGAAAUAUAAUCUCUGUGGGUGACUACAUAGAAAUAUAAUCUCUGUGGGUGACUACAUAGAAAUAUAAUCUCUGUGGGUGACUACAUAGAAAUAUAAUCUCUGUGGGUGACUACAUAGAAAUAUAAUCUCUGUAGGUGACUACAUAGAAAUAUAAUCUUUGUGCGUGACUACAUAGAAAUAUAAUCUCUGUAGGUGAGGGGGAGACUGCAGGGAGCUAGCUAACAGUAGAAUUAUAACUACGUAGAAUUAUAAUCUCUGUGGGUGACUACAUAGAAAUAUAAUCUCUGUGCGUGACUACAUAGAAAUAUAAUCUCUGUGCGUGACUACAUAGAAAUAUAAUCUCUGUGGGUGACUACAUAGAAAUAUAAUCUCUGUGAAUGACUACAUAGAAAUAUAAUCUCUGUGGGUGACUACAUAGAAAAAUAAUCUCUGUGCGUGACUACAUAGAAUUAUUCUCUGUGGGUGACCACAUAGAAAUAUAAUCUCUGUGGGUGACCACAUAGAAAUAUAAUCUCUGUAG
rnacentral:lncRNA from 1 species